AUUGAACGCUGGCGGCAUGCCUUACACAUGCAAGUCUAACGGCAGCACGGGAGCAAUCCUGGUGGCGAGUGGCGAACGGGUGAGUAAUACAUCGGAACGUGCCCAAUCGUGGGGGAUAACGCAGCGAAAGCUGUGCUAAUACCGCAUAAGAUCUACGGAUGAAAGCAGGGGAUCGCAAGACCUUGCGCGAAUGGAGCGGC
rnacentral:rRNA from 1 species